rnacentral:lncRNA from 1 species
GGAUUAGUUCACAAGAAGCCACCUGAGUACAUGACUCAUUCCUCAUUCCAGACAGCCUCUCCUGGGAAAGCAAGCAGCAGAGAGCCAUCCACAACAUUUCCCCCUUUCUGUUCUAAUAAAAAAAAAAAAAAAAAAAAAAAAAAAAAAAAAACCUUUCUCUCAAUAUAGAGCACAACUAUUACCAUUUUGUAAUUUAUAAGGUAUAAGAUAGACCUAACUCCCAGUCCAUCAACUUUGUCAUUAAGAUGGAACAUUGUCAUCUAUCCUAAAUUAAAAGACUUAUCAUUCUACACCUGACUCAUUUCCUGGCUUUAGAUCAUAUGCCAUCUGAAAACCAUCUUCUCAAAUCUGUUCUCUCAGUGUAAAUACCCUGGGUUGGCUAUGAGACUAUAAGUGGUUUUUAAAGCACAUCAGAAAUCUGAGAAUGACCAACAUUAACUGAAAAUAUAUAGGAAGCCUAACACAGCUUCCAGAACUGAGACAAAUUGUAGAGACAGCUGCCUACCUAUACAGCCCCAGGAAGUCAGGAAGAUGGAGUAUGUCUUCAGCCUUCUGGCCCAGGAUCAUCUGACAGACCCAGAGAAACAGGAUAUUAAGGACUAGCCUACUCUGUCUCAGAAUCAAGCUGUCCUAAACCUGUAAUUUCGUCCUUUCUUUGGACAGCAUUAUGUCUGUAGAUGAAAAGAGGCAAUUCUUGCAUAAUUGCUGUCUCACCACAACUGGAGUAACUCAUAGAUGCUCAGUUUCUUCUUUGAAUCCAAGACAGGGAAAGCUGUCAGGAGCAGACUAGUCUCAACAGCAAGUGAAUAAAUAACACUAAAUGUCACAUUCUGUGAAUUUCUGACUUUUUGAAAACCAACUAUCAAUAUAAAGUAAUCUGGACUGUUCUCCGUUAACUACUCUCAACUAUUUCUAAUUACAGCCUCUGAAAACACCCUAACAAUAAACUCAGAGCCAUGAAUUUGCUUUUUGGACCUUAACUCACAGGCUUCUAUAUAUUUUGUACCAAUGAAAACCUUGAUUUUGCAUCAAAAUAAAUUCUAUACCAAAAUAAGAAAUUAUGACUUCAGCUUAGUAACAAUUAAAAAGAUUUCUACCAAAUGAGAUUAUGGCUAUGCAAUCAAUUUCAGCUAUUCCUCCCUAUUCCAAUUAUGACCAUUUCUACAUUCCCUAGAAAGACAACCUAUAAUAACCCCCUCCAGCCCCAAAGCCAAGGGAAUUGGGGCGACGACUCUUCAUAACUUCUUCAAGCUGAAUAUAGGUGUUGAGAUAUUUUGAAUUGUGGGGGAGGGUUAGGGGAAAUAGGGGAGUUAUUUGGCCUUAAGAAGGCCACAACAAUGAUGGAUUUAGUCUCUGAUGCUUGUGUCCUGACUAGAUCUGGCUGAAGUCCAAGGCAUCAGGAGUUCAAGUAGGUCAGUUCAAGCAUGUCUGAUGAUGAAAUUCACCAAGGCUGUAUAUUCUAUAAUAUACAAAUCUCAAAGCAAAAUUUUAGUAUCAUCAAGAUAACCUUUUUGUUUGAUUCUCUGGAAUCUACUUCAGGGGAUCUCCCUCUAUCAAAUCUGAUUCAUAUAACUCUGGAAUGUGUAAACACCUUAAUCACCUUUUCCAAAAACACAAAGACAAAACCUUUUUCCCAAAUCAGCAUAUCUUUGAGCCCAUAACCAGAAAAACCUUUAUUUUGACCUCUCUCCCAGAGGAAUAAUAUAACCAUGAAACUCGACAUCACACCCAUUUUGAAAAUCAAAACAAUCUAAAACAGAUGAAGAAAGAAAUUUAAACUAAGAUACUGUAUGUGCCUAUACUAGGCCUUUCCUAUCUUGCAAAGG